AGAUGGGCAUGCGUGGCAUUAGCUAGUUGGUGAGGUAACGGCUUACCAAGGCGACGAUGCCUAGGGGUCCUGAGAGGGUUAACCCCCACACUGGUACUGAGACACGGACCAGACUCCUACGGGAGGCAGCAGUAAGGAAUAUUGGGCAAUGGACGCAAGUCUGACCCAGCCAUGCCGCGUGAAGGAUGACUGCCCUAUGGGUUGUAAACUUCUUUUGUACGGGAAAAAACUCUCGGUCGUGCACCGGGACUGAUGGUACCGUGCGAAUAAGCAUCGGCUAACUCCGUGCCAGCAGCCGCGGUAAUACGGAGGAUGCAAGCGUUAUCCGGAUUCAUUGGGUUUAAAGGGUGCGCAGGCGGAAUUGUAAGUCAGUGGUGAAAUCUUCCGGCUUAACCGGGAAACUGCCAUUGAUACUGCUGUUCUUGAGUAUAGUUGAAGUGGGCGGAAUGUGUCAUGUAGCGGUGAAAUGCUUAGAUAUGACACAGAACACCGAUAGCGAAGGCAGCUCACUAAGCUGUAACUGACGCUCAUGCACGAAAGCGUGGGGAUCAAACAGGAUUAGAUACCCUGGUAGUCCACGCUGUAAACGAUGAUCACUCGUUGUUGGCGAUAUACUGUCAGCGACUGAGCGAAAGCAUUAA
rnacentral:rRNA from 1 species